rnacentral:rRNA from 1 species
ACGGGAGGCAGCAGUGGGGAAUUUUGGACAAUGGGCGCAAGCCUGAUCCAGCAAUGCCGCGUGCAGGAAGAAGGCCUUCGGGUUGUAAACUGCUUUUGUCCGGAACGAAACGGUCNGGGUUAAUACCCUGGGCUAAUGGCGGUACCGUAAGAAUAAGCACCGGCUAACUACGUGCCAGCAGCCGCGGUAAUACGUAGGGUGCNAGCNUUAAUCGNAAUUACUGGGCGUAAAGCGUGCGCAGGCGUUUUUNUAAGNCAGGCGUNAAAUCCNNGGGCUCANCCUGGGAAUNGCNNUUGUGNCUGCAAGGCUGGAGUGCGACAGAGGGGGAUGGAAUUCCGCGUGUAGCAGUNAAAUGCGUAGAUAUGCGGAGGAACACCGAUGGCGAAGGCAAUCCCCUGGGCCUGCACUGACGCUCAUGCACGAAAGCGUGGGGAGCAAACAGGAUUAGAUACCCUGGUAGUCCACGCCCUAAACGAUGUCAACUGGUUGUUGGGUCUCUUCNGNCUCAGUNNCGAAGCUAACGCGUUAAGUUGACCGCCUGGGGAGUACGGNCGCAAGG